GAGAAAGAAUAAUAGAGAACUAGAAAGACAACGCAGCAUCAGAACCCAAGUUUCAUCCUGCAGGUUGAAAUGCAUUCCAACGCAUUGAUACCAGUUUAAGAGUCCCAGAAAUCGUGAGACGUUGCUCCACGUUCCUCAGCUGCCAUGUACAUUGGCUACAAAUGCCAUGGUAAUUCUCCAGGAAUUGGACCAGGAAAUGGAGCAAGGAAAUGGAUGCAGACCCUGAGCAUCAUGAGUUCAUUUCCAACCUGACAACUUCACCUGGUUUCCUGACUGCUCUCUUAGUUAACUGUGAUUGUCCCAGAGCUUCCUGCCACAGCCCCUGCCUCCUGCCAAGGACAUAGAGCAAAAUACAGGGAGAAGAGAUUUGAACUUCUUACUCCUGGGGGUCUUACAGAUUGAGACAGACAUUCCUAUGUAGAAUGAGCAUACAAGCAAAACGUGUUUAAAAAAGUGAUUGCAUAAGUACAUGGUAAGGCACAUGCAACAUUUUGUGUGGGUAUCCACUUAACAGAGGGCCGCUAGAAGAGGAAUAGUAGGAUUCCACACACAGCCCUGCAGGUAAGAAGUGGCCCAGUUCCUCUUGGAUCACCUUGGCAAAGCCUCACAAUUUGAAAAGCUUCCAAGACUCUCACAAUAAAAACACAUGGCUGUAAUGACUCCC